rnacentral:tRNA from 1 species
GGGCCGGUAGCUCAGUUUGGGAGAGCGUUGGCUUCGCAAGCCAAAGGCCGCGGGUUCAAAUCCCGCCCGGUCCACCA